GGUAAUGAUUCUACACACCAGAACAAAUUCAAUAAACUGUAGUUGUUCUGGUGACUAUAGUGUCCCUUUAACCCUGCAGUGUAAAUAUUGCAGUUUCUAAAAAAGGUUUAAACUGACAGGACCACUGCACCCAGACCAUGUUAUGGAGAGGAAAUAUAGCCCAUGGAGCAGCACAGCUUAGUGGAAUAGGGCCUUAACAGAGCUAGGAGGCGGGCAUUCAUAGUUAGUGUGUUUGGAUUGGCUAGCUAUUUGGGGUGGGCAGGCAGAUACAUAUAGGACAGCCAUGUUAUAAUUGUCCCAUUCUAAUGCUUUCUCACAG